rnacentral:rRNA from 1 species
CACAGAGUUAGCCGGUGCUUAUUCUGCGAGUAACGUCCACUAUCCUAAAGUAUUAAUCUAGGUAGCCUCCUCCUCGCUUAAAGUGCUUUACAACCAAAAGGCCUUCUUCACACACGCGGCAUGGCUGGAUCAGAGUUCCCCCCAUUGUCCAAUAUUCCCCACUGCUGCCUCCCGUAGGAGUCUGGGCCGUGUCUCAGUCCCAGUGUGGCGGAUCAUCCUCUCAGACCCGCUACAGAUCGUCGCCUUGGUAGGCCUUUACCCUACCAACUAGCUAAUCCGACUUAGGCUCAUCUAUUAGCGCAAGGCCCGAAGGUCCCCUGCUUUCUCCCGUAGGACGUAUGCGGUAUUAGCGCUCCUUUCGGAACGUUGUCCCCCACUAAUGGCAGAUUCCUAAGCAUUACUCACCCGUCCGCCGCUGAAUCCAGUAGCAAGCUACUUUCAUCCGCUCGACUUGCAUGUGUUAAGCCUGCCGCCAGCGUUCAAUCUGACGCC